CAGAGAAUAGUUUAAUAAAAUAUUAAUUUUGGAGAUUAAAGUUAGAAAGAAUUUUCUUUCUCUGA
rnacentral:tRNA from 1 species